rnacentral:rRNA from 1 species
GAUGAACGCUAGCUCCAGGCUUAACACAUGCAAGUCGAGGGACCGGCGCACGGGUGAGUAACACGUAUCCACCCUGCCCUUUACUCGGGGAUAGCCUGUCGAAAGAAAGAUUAAUACCCAAUAUAAAGGAUGGGGAUGCGUUCCAUUAGGUUGUUGGUGAGGUAACGGCUCACCAAGACUUCGAUGGAGAGGGGUUCUGAGUGGAAGGCCCCCUGCAUGUGAACCGCGACCCGGUCCAAUCUCCUACGGGAGGUAGCAGUGAGGAAUAUUGGUCACUGGGCGCUAGUCUGAACCUGCCAAGUAUCUGGAAGGAUGAAUGCUUAUGGGUCGUCAUCUUCUUUUAUAUAAGAAUAUGUAUUAUAUGAAUAAGGAUCGGCUAACUCCGUGCCAGCAGCCGCGGUAAUUC